CGAACGGAAAGGCCUCUUCGGAGGUACUCGAGUGGCGAACGGGUGAGUAACACGUGGGUGAUCUGCCCUGCACUCUGGGAUAAGCCUGGGAAACUGGGUCUAAUACCGGAUAGGACCAUGCUUUAGUGUGUGUGGUGGAAAGUUUUUUCGGUGUAGGAUGAGCCCGCGGCCUAUCAGCUUGUGGGGGGUAAUGGCCUACCAAGGCGGCGACGGGUAGCCGGACUGAGAGGUUGGUCGGCCACAUUGGGACUGAGAUACGGCCCAGACUCCUACGGGAGGCAGCAGUGGGGAAUAUUGCACAAUGGGCGCAAGCCUGAUGCAGCGACGCCGYGUGGGGGAUGACGGCCUUCGGGUUGUAAACUCYUUUCRCCAGGGACGAAGCGUUUUGUGAMGGUACCUGGA
rnacentral:rRNA from 1 species